UACGUAGGUGGCGAGCGUUGUCCGGAUUUACUGGGCGUAAAGAGCGCGCAGGCGGCUGGUCAAGUCCGAUGUGAAAGCUCCCGGCUUAACUGGGAAAUUGCAUCGGAAACUGAUCGGCUGGAAGGUGGGAGAGGGUAGCGGAAUUCCCGGUGUAGUGGUGAAAUGCGUAGAUAUCGGGAGGAACACCAGUGGCGAAGGCGGCAUCCUGGACCGGUAUUGACGCUGAGGAGCGAAAGCGUGGGGAGCGAACAGG
rnacentral:rRNA from 1 species